rnacentral:rRNA from 1 species
AAUGAACGCUGGCGGCAGGCUUAACACAUGCAAGUCGAACGAUUAAAGCUUCUUCGGAAGUGUAUAAAGUGGCAAACGGGUGAGUAACACGUGGGAACAUACCUUUUGGUUCGGGACAACAGUUGGAAACGACUGCUAAUACCGGAUACGGACUACGGUCGAAAGAUUUAUCGCCGAAAGAUUGGCCCGCGCUAGAUUAGUUUGUUGGUGAGGUAACGGCUCACCAAGACGAUGAUCUAUAGCUGGUUUGAGAGGAUGAUCAGCCACACUGGGACUUAGAUACGGCCCAGACUCCUACGGGAGGCAGCAGUGAGGAAUAUUGGACAAUGGAGGAAACUCUGAUCCAGCCAUGCCGCGUGAGUGAUGAAGGCCCUAGGGUUGUAAAACUCUUUUAGUAAGGAAGAUAAUGACGGUACUUACAGAAAAAGCUCCGGCUAACUCCG